UACUAAGCGGAGGAAAAGAAACCAACGGGGAUUCCCAUAGUAACUGCGAGUGAAAGGGGAACAGCCCAGCGCCGAAUCCUGCUGCUGGCAACGGUGGCAGGAACUGUGGCGUGAAGAAAGUCUUUACUGACAUGGCUUGCCUGCGUAAGUUCUCCUGAGUGAGGCUCCAUCCCACGGAGGGUGCAAGGCCCGUAUCGCGAGCAGCCGAUGGCAGUGUAAACUUUCAGAGAGUCGCCUUGUUUGCGAGUACAAGGUGAAGUCGGAGGUAAAUUUCUUCGAAGGCUAAAUAUGACCACGAGACCGAUAGCGAACAAGUACCGUGAGGGAAAAUUGAAAAGCACUUUGAAGAGAGAGCGAAACAGUGCGUGAAACCGCUCAGAGGCAAGCAGAUGGGGCCUCGAAGGCAAAGCAGCGAAUUCAGUUGGCUGUCCGUGUGGCUGGUUGGCAUUUGAGAUCGCAAGACUCUGGCUGGCUGCGUCUGCAUGGCUACCAAUGCACUUUCGUUGUUUGUACGCCACCGCCGUUGAGCGAGCGUCCGCCGGGUUGGCGUGUGAAGCCUUAUGCCUUUCGGGGUGUAGGUGCUUACUGCCUUUCUGUGCGCGUUCGCACCUCAACCGGUCAUGUCAGCAUGUGCCAGCUUUAGCGUUGGACUGGUGUGCUCCGAUUAGGUGUCCGGGAUGACGAGCUUGCUCGGCUUUUGGAUACCUGGUGGACUCGCUGCUAGUUUUCAACGUCGGUACAUUGUAGAUUCGGUGGCGAGUAGACGGCUGCCCAUCUAACCCGUCUUGAAACACGGACCAAGGAGUUCAACAUGCCUGCUAGUUGUUGGGACUUGAAGCCCGCUAGCAAAGUGAAAGCAAGACACAGUGUAACGCUGUGUAUUGGCGUGAUCCCGUCACUUGGAUGUUAAAGUCUGAGCCGGGCGCAUCGCCGGAACAUCAUAAGCUCACGUGGCCGUGGUGUAUCCUGAGCAAGCACGUUGAGACCCGAAAGAUGGUGAACUAUGCCUGGGCAGGAUGAAGCCAGGGGAAACUCUGGUGGAGGUCCGUAGCGAUUCUGACGUGCAAAUCGAUCGUCUGACCUGGGUAUAGGGGCGAAAGACUAAUCGAACCAUCUAGUAGCUGGUUCCCUCCGAAGUUUCCCUCAGGAUAGCUGUUGCUCAAGAGAACGUAGUCUCUCCCGGUAAAGCGAAUGAUUAGAGGCCUUGGGGUCGAAACGACCUUAACCUAUUCUCAAACUUUAAAUGGGUGAGAAGUCUGCCUUGGUUAAAUGCGUAGCUCAAGUGCGGACGUUGGAUACGAGUAGCUAGUGGGCCAAUUUUGNNNNNNNNNNNNNNNNNNNNNNNNNNNNNNNNNNNNNNNNNNNNNNNNNNNNNNNNNNNNNNNNNNNNNNNNNNNNNNNNNNNNNNNNNNNNNNNNNNNNUGCCGAAGCAACUAGCCCUGAAAAUGGAUGGCGCUAGAGCGAGUGGCCUAUACUCGGCCGUUGCAGCAGCAGAAACGACAAGUCAAGCUGCAACGAGUAGGAGGGUCGCGGCCGUUGCGUCGAAGGCUUACGGGCGUGAGCCUGGCUGGAGCAGCGGUCGGUGCAGAUCUUGGUGGUAGUAGCAAAUACUCAAGCGAGAACCUUGAGGACUGAAGUGGUAGAAGGGUUUCGUGUGAACCGCAUUGGGACACGAGUCAGUCGAUCCUAAGGUAUCGGCGAAAGCCGUUCAGAAGCGGUGUGGAUGUGCUUUCGGGCACAGGUUGCUGACUGGGUUUUCUCAAGCAGUGAUCACCGCACCUACCGAAAGGGAAUUGGGUUAAUAUUCCCAAACCCGGCAUCGGAUAUUGGUUGGCUUUCGGGCUGACACAUGCGGUAACGCAAAUGAACUCAGAGACGGUGAAACCUGCCCUGGAAAGAGUUGUCUUUUCUUCAUAAGGCACAGGCUCCCUGGAAUCGGAUCAUCCGGCGAUAGGGAGAUGGUGUUCCGUAGAGCAGCGCGGUUCUUGCGCUGUCCGGUGCGCAGGUUUCGCUCCUUGAAAAUUUGAGGGAGAGUGUAAUUUUCGUGCCGGAUCGUACCCAUAUCCGCAGCAGUCUCC
rnacentral:rRNA from 1 species